AUUUUUAACUUCAGCGUACAGUGCAGUGUAUUAAUAUUAAAUAUCAAUAUCAUUAACACUCAGGCAGGACCAUUUCUGAUGUGUUAGACAGCGCUGCUACUGGGUAAUAAACUAAAACAAGCGCCCGUUCAAAUAAAGCGGGAGCGAAGAACCGUCUCUGAAAGAGGAGCUUGAAAAUGAUCAGAAUUGUGAAGGCGCCGCAUCUUCUUGCGCCUCUUAAUGCAUCCCUCGUGUCAGCAGCACUAUUGUACUGAAGCGGUAUACAGUACCGGUGCGCGGUUCUCUUUUCACCUGUUUAACUGUGUUACAGGGAGCGGUGCGUGUCCACUCUUCCUCUAUGGGUCGCUGGCGGCAGCUUCAUUUCUUCUGAUUACUUUGUUAAUUACACUGGUAAUAUGUUAUCGAAGACAGAAUAAACCAGAUGCGUAUUUGGCAAAUGAACCAUCGAUGUAUUCCGAGAUUCGCGUUACAGGGAGGGCGCCAGACAAACAAAUAGCAGGGCAACGUGAAAACACCGGUUCCGGAGGAAGGCACGCCAGACCAAAGAUAAGAGCAGCGGUCCGUGAUGACGUGCAGUACGCCAGUUUGCAGUUCGAGGCGCGCGGGCGACAGAAAUGAAGACCGGGACUGGACAGAUUAUUAGAAACACCUGUGUCAUGUAGCACACACUUCUGUGUAACUGCACUGUCCCUCCUAGAACUGAAUAAUUUGAUAUGCAAAAGGCAGCACCGCUUUGCAUUAUAGAUGAAUGUAUUCAAUACAUAUGUUUAAUAAUAUAAAAAUAAUUAAAAGUACCCAAUGUAAUCCCUCUUUGAAAUAAUUGAAAUACCCAAUACAAUAAGCAUCAUAUCCUCAUGAAUUUCCUUGUUAAAAACAUUUUACAAAUAUUUACAAUUAUUUAUUUUAUAAAAGCCGUAGAUUUGCUGUAUAGCACAAUUCUUAAAACUCUCAAAAUGACUUUUUAUAAUUGUAGUUCAUUAAACGCUUUUGAAAAGA